rfam:Camelus ferus unplaced genomic scaffold scaffold2748, whole genome shotgun sequence.
GAGGGUAUAGCUCAGAGAUAGAGCGCAUGCUUAGCAUGCACAAGGUCCUGGGUUCAAUCCCCAGUACCUCCA